AAGCGUGAGGUAAGGGCAUCUGGUGAAUGCCUUGGCAUGUACAGGCGAUGAAGGACGUGGCACGCUGCGAUAAGCGUGGGGGAGCUGUGAGCAAGCUUUGAUCCCGCGAUUUCCGAAUGGGACAACCCACCUUCACCAUUUAAGACUGGUCCAGCCUUCUGGCUGGCCCCGUGUUAAAUGGGAGAGGUAUCACUAAGCUGAAUAAAAUAGGCUUUGGUGAAGCGAACCCGGAGAACUGAAACAUCUCAGUACCCGGAGGAAAAGACAUCAACCGAGAUUCCGUUAGUAGUGGCGAGCGAACGCGGACCAGGCCAGCGCCUGAUAUUUAGUUAGCAGAACGAUCUGGAAAGUUCGGCCAUAGCGGGUGACAGCCCCGUAUGUGAAAGCGAAAUAUCAGGACUUGAGUAGGGCGGAGCACGUGAAACUCUGUCUGAACAUGGGGGGACCACCCUCCAAGCCUAAAUACUCGUACAUGACCGAUAGCGAACCAGUACCGUGAGGGAAAGGUGAAAAGCACCCCGAUGAGGGGAGUGAAACAGUACCUGAAACCGGAUGCCUACAAGCAGUGGGAGGGUCCUUGAGACCUGACCGCGUACCUCUUGCAUAAUGGGUCUGUGACUUAGUGUAUCAUGCAAGCUUAAGCCGUUAGGUGUAGGCGCAGCGAAAGCGAGUCUGAAUAGGGCGCCCAUGAGUAUGAUGCAUUAGACCCGAAACCCGGCGAUCUAGGCAUGACCAGGCUGAAGGUGCGGUAACACGCACUGGAGGGCCGAACCGUUUAAUGUUGAAAAAUUAUCGGAUGAGUUGUGUUUAGGGGUGAAAGGCCAAUCAAGCCGGGAAAUAGCUGGUUCUCCGCGAAAUCUAUUGAGGUAGAGCGUCGGAUGAUUGCCGUUGGGGGUAGAGCACUGGAUGGAUGCGGGGGUCGCGAGAUCUACCAAUUCUAACCAAACUCCGAAUACCAACGAGUCUAGUCCGGCAGACAGACGGCGGGUGCUAAGGUCCGUCGUCAAAAGGGAAACAGCCCUAACCUACAGCUAAGGUCCCCAAGUCACGUCUAAGUGGGAAAGCAUGUGGGAUUUCCAAAACAACCAGGAGGUUGGCUUAGAAGCAGCCAUCCUUUAAAGAAAGCGUAACAGCUCACUGGUCUAAAUAAGAGAUCCUGCGGCGAAGAUGUAACGGGGCUCAAGACGUGCACCGAAGCUUAGGGUUCAGUCCUUUGGACUGAGCGGUAGCGGAGCGUUCCGUAGGCCGUUGAAGCGGGAGGGUAACCGACCGUGGAGGUAUCGGAAGUGCGAAUGCAGACAUGAGUAGCGAUUAAGAGGGUGAGAUGCCCUCUCGCCGAAAUUCCAAGGGUUCCUGCUUAAAGCUAAUCUGAGCAGGGUAAGCCGGCCCCUAAGACGAGCCCGAAGGGGGUAGUCGAUGGGAACCACGUUAAUAUUCGUGGGCCUGGUGGUGUGUGACGGAUGGCGUAACUUGUUCGGCCUUAUUGGAUUGGUCCGGGCAGGGAAGUUGUCCCAGGAAAUAGCCCCACCGUAUAGACCGUACCCUAAACCGACACAGGUGGAAUGGUAGAGUAUACCAAGGCGUUUGAGAGAAGUAUCCUGAAGGAACUCGGCAAAUUGCCUCCGUACCUUCGGAAGAAGGAGGCCCCACAUAAGCGCAAGCUCUUGUGGGGGGCACAGGCCAGGGGGUAGCGACUGUUUAGCAAAAACACAGGGCUCUGCUAAGUCGGCUUCAAGACGACGUAUAGGGCCUGACGCCUGCCCGGUGCCUGAAGGUUAAGAGGAGGAGUGCAAGCUCUGAAUUGAAGCCCAGGUAAACGGCGGCCGUAACUAUAACGGUCCUAAGGUAGCGAAAUUCCUUGUCGGGUAAGUUCCGACCUGCACGAAUGGCGUAACGACUUCCCCACUGUCUCCAGGAUAUGCUCAGCGAAAUUGAAUUCUCCGUGAAGAUGCGGAGUACCCGCGGUUAGACGGAAAGACCCCGUGCACCUUUACUGCAGCUUCAGAGUGGCAUUAGGAAAGAACUGUGUAGCAUAGGUGGGAGGCUUUGAAGCGAUGACGCCAGUUGUCGUGGAGCCAUAGGUGAAAUACCACCCUGUUGUUUUCUGAUGUCUAACCUCGCACCGUUAUCCGGUGCAGGGACCCUCUGUGGCGGGUAGUUUGACUGGGGCGGUCGCCUCCUAAAGAGUAACGGAGGCGCGCGAUGGUGGGCUCAGGACGGUUGGAAACCGUCUGUUAGAGUGCAAUGGCAUAAGCCCGCCUGACUGCGAGACUGACAAGUCGAGCAGAGACGAAAGUCGGUCAUAGUGAUCCGGUGGUCCCUCGUGGAAGGGCCAUCGCUCAACGGAUAAAAGGUACGCCGGGGAUAACAGGCUGAUGAUUCCCAAGAGCUCAUAUCGACGGAAUCGUUUGGCACCUCGAUGUCGGCUCAUCACAUCCUGGGGCUGGAGCAGGUCCCAAGGGUUUGGCUGUUCGCCAAUUAAAGUGGUACGUGAGCUGGGUUCAGAACGUCGCGAGACAGUUUGGUCCCUAUCUGCCGUGGGCGUCGAAAUUUGAGAGGAGUUGACCCUAGUACGAGAGGACCGGGUUGAACAUACCUCUGGUGUACCUGUCGUCGUGCCAACGGCGCAGCAGGGUAGCUAUGUAUGGACGGGAUAACCGCUGAAAGCAUCUAAGCGGGAAGCCUCCCUCAAGAUAAGAUUUCAUCGAGCCGUGAUAGACCAUCACGUUGAUAGGCCGGAUGUGGAAGUGCGGUAACGCAUGGAGCUAACCGGUCCUAAUUGCUCUGUUCGCGCUUAA
rnacentral:rRNA from 1 species